rnacentral:rRNA from 1 species
AUUGAACGCUGGCGGCAGGCCUAACACAUGCAAGUCGAACGAGUGGCGGACGGGUGAGUAAUGUCUGGGAAUCUGCCCGAUGGAGGGGGAUAACUACUGGAAACGGUAGCUAAUACCGCAUACCAUCAGAUGAACCCAUAUGGGAUUAGCUUGUUGGUGGGGUAAGGGCUCACCAAGGCGACGAUCCCUAGCUGGUCUGAGAGGAUGACCAGCCACACUGGAACUGAGAAACGGUCCAGACUCCUACGGGAGGCAGCAGUGGGGAAUAUUGCACAAUGGGCGCAAGCCUGAUGCAGCCAUGCCGCGUGUAUGAAGAAGGCCUUCGGGUUGUAAAGUACUUUCAGCGGGGAGGCGUUACCCGCAGAAGAAGCACCGGCUAACUCCGUGCCAGCAGCCGCGGUAAUUC